AGCGAACGCUGGCGGCAGGCCUAACACAUGCAAGUCGAACGAACUCUUCGGAGUUAGUGGCGGACGGGUGAGUAGCACGUGGGAACGUGCCUUUUGGUUCGGAAUAACUCAGGGAAACUUGUGCUAAUACCGAAUGUGCCCUUCGGGGGAAAGAUUUAUCGCCAUUAGAGCGGCCCGCGUCUGAUUAGCUAGUUGGUGAGGUAACGGCUCACCAAGGCGACGAUCAGUAGCUGGUCUGAGAGGAUGACCAGCCACACUGGGACUGAGACACGGCCCAGACUCCUACGGGAGGCAGCAGUGGGGAAUCUUGCGCAAUGGGCGAAAGCCUGACGCAGCCAUGCCGCGUGAAUGAUGAAGGUCUUAGGAUUGUAAAAUUCUUUCACCGGGGACGAUAAUGACGGUACCGGAGAAGAAGCCCCGGCUAACUUCGUG
rnacentral:rRNA from 1 species